AAUUAGCUAUGCGACUCGUGAGAUAACUAUUCCUGGCGCCAUAGCAAUUCAAUUGGGAGCUGACACUGAUUUAGAUCGUGGUCUAUUUCAUUCGGUACCCACCUAUAUCAUAGGAGCCAAGGAUUGCCAAAUCCACGGUCGUGUGGCUAGAAA
rfam:Rhizobiales bacterium TMED28 14804, whole genome shotgun sequence.